GAUGAACGCUGGCGGCGUGCCUAAUACAUGCAAGUCGAGCGAACAGAUGAGGAGCUUGCUCCUCUGACGUUAGCGGCGGACGGGUGAGUAACACGUGGAUAACCUACCUAUAAGACUGGGAUAACUUCGGGAAACCGGAGCUAAUACCGGAUAAUAUAUUGAACCGCAUGGUUCAAUAGUGAAAGACGGUUUUGCUGUCACUUAUAGAUGGAUCCGCGCCGCAUUAGCUAGUUGGUAAGGUACGGCUUACCAAGGCGACGAUGCGUAGCCGACCUGAGAGGGUGAUCGGCCACACUGGAACUGAGACACGGUCCAGACUCCUACGGGAGGCAGCAGUAGGGAAUCUUCCGCAAUGGGCGAAAGCCUGACGGAGCAACGCCGCGUGAGUGAUGAAGGUCUUCGGAUCGUAAAACUCUGUUAUUAGGGAAGAACAAAUGUGUAAGUAACUAUGCACGUCUUGACGGUACCUAAUCAGAAAGCCACGGCUAACUACGUG
rnacentral:rRNA from 1 species